CCUACGGGAGGCAGCAGUGAGGAAUAUUGGUCAAUGGACGAGAGUCUGAACCAGCCAAGUAGCGUGAAGGAUGACUGCCCUAUGGGUUGUAAACUUCUUUUAUAUGGGAAUAAAAUGUUCCACGUGUGGGAUUUUGUAUGUACCAUAUGAAUAAGGAUUUGCUAACUCCGUGCCAGCAGCCGCGGUAAUACGGAGGAUCCGAGCGUUAUCCGGAUUUAUUGGGUUUAAAGGGAGCGAAGGUGGAUUGUUAAGUCAGUUGUGAAAGUUUGCGGCUCAACCGUAAAAUUACAGUUGAAACUGGCAGUCUUGAGUACAGUAGAGGUGGGCGGAAUUCGUGGUGUAGCGGUGAAAUGCUUAGAUAUCACGAAGAACUCCGAUUGCGAAGGCAGUUCACUGGACUGCAACUGACACUGAGGCUCGAAAGUGUGGGUAUCAAACAGGAUUAGAUACCCCAGUAGUC
rnacentral:rRNA from 1 species